UAGGAGACCCUUCGCAUUAUCGUAUUGCUGGAUUCUGAAAGAGUAUAGUUUAUUUAACUGGUAUUUUCUCCAGGUUCUAUUUAUUGAGCUGGAAGCUUCUGCAGGUUUCUAUAUAUUUAGCUGGUAGUUUCUGCAGGUUUCUAUAUGUUUAGCUGGUAGUUUCUUGCAGGUUUCUAUUUAAUUAGCUGUUAUUUUCUGCAGG
rnacentral:lncRNA from 1 species